rnacentral:rRNA from 1 species
AGUAGGUUUGAUCCUGGCUCAGGACGAACGCUGCGGCGUGCCUAACACAUGCAAGUCGAGCGAUGAAGCUCCCUUCGGGGAGUGGAUUAGCGGCGGACGGGUGAGUAACACGUGGGUAACCUGCCUCAAAGUGGGGGAUAGCCUUCCGAAAGGAAGAUUAAUACCGCAUAACAUUAUUUUGUGGCAUCACAGAAUAAUCAAAGGAGCAAUCCGCUUUGAGAUGGACCCGCGGCGCAUUAGCUAGCUGGUGAGGUAACGGCUCACCAAGGCAACGAUGCGUAGCCGACCUGAGAGGGUGAUCGGCCACAUUGGAACUGAGACACGGUCCAGACUCCUACGGGAGGCAGCAGUGGGGAAUAUUGCGCAAUGGGGGAAACCCUGACGCAGCAACGCCGCGUGAGUGAUGAAGGUUUUCGGAUCGUAAAACUCUGUCUUUGGGGACGAUAAUGACGGUACCCAAGGAGGAAGCCACGGCUAACUACGUG